GCCUUGAUGGUGAAAUAAUGGUAGACACGCGAGACUCAAAAUCUCGUGCUAUAGCGCGUGGAGGUUCGAAUCCUCUUCAAGGCA
rnacentral:tRNA from 2 species